rnacentral:rRNA from 1 species
AGGGGAGUGAAAAAGAACCUGAAACCGUGUACGUACAAGCAGUGGGAGCCUCUUUUAUGGGGUGACUGCGUACCUUUUGUAUAAUGGGUCAGCGACUUAUAUUCUGUAGCAAGGUUAACCGAAUAGGGGAGCCGAAGGGAAACCGAGUCUUAACUGGGCGUUAAGUUGCAGGGUAUAGACCCGAAACCCGGUGAUCUAGCCAUGGGCAGGUUGAAGGUUGGGUAACACUAACUGGAGGACCGAACCGACUAAUGUUGAAAAAUUAGCGGAUGACUUGUGGCUGGGGGUGAAAGGCCAAUCAAACCGGGAGAUAGCUGGUUCUCCCCGAAAGCUAUUUAGGUAGCGCCUCGUGAAUUCAUCUCCGGGGGUAGAGCACUGUUUCGGCAAGGGGGUCAUCCCGACUUACCAACCCGAUGCAAACUGCGAAUACCGGAGAAUGUUAUCACGGGAGACACACGGCGGGUGCUAACGUCCGUCGUGAAGAGGGAAACAACCCAGACCGCCAGCUAAGGUCCCAAAGUCAUGGUUAAGUGGGAAACGAUGUGGGAAGGCCCAGACAGCCAGGAUGUUGGCUUAGAAGCAGCCAUCAUUUAAAGAAAGCGUAAUAGCUCACUGGUCGAGUCGGCCUGCGCGGAAGAUGUAACGGGGCUAAACCAUGCACCGAAGCUGCGGCAGCGACACUGUGUGUUGUUGGGUAGGGGAGCGUUCUGUAAGCCUGUGAAGGUGUGCUGUGAGGCAUGCUGGAGGUAUCAGAAGUGCGAAUGCUGACAUAAGUAACGAUAAAGCGGGUGAAAAGCCCGCUCGCCGGAAGACCAAGGGUUCCUGUCCAACGUUAAUCGGGGCAGGGUGAGUCGACCCCUAAGGCGAGGCCGAAAGGCGUAGUCGAUGGGAAACAGGUUAAUAUUCCUGUACUUGGUGUUACUGCGAAGGGGGGACGGAGAAGGCUAUGUUGGCCGGGCGACGGUUGUCCCGGUUUAAGCGUGUAGGCUGGUUUUCCAGGCAAAUCCGGAAAAUCAAGGCUGAGGCGUGAUGACGAGGCACUACGGUGCUGAAGCAACAAAUGCCCUGCUUCCAGGAAAAGCCUCUAAGCAUCAGGUAACAUCAAAUCGUACCCCAAACCGACACAGGUGGUCAGGUAGAGAAUACCAAGGCGCUUGAGAGAACUCGGGUGAAGGAACUAGGCAAAAUGGUGCCGUAACUUCGGGAGAAGGCACGCUGAUAUGUAGGUGAAGUCCCUCGCGGAUGGAGCUGAAAUCAGUCGAAGAUACCAGCUGGCUGCAACUGUUUAUUAAAAACACAGCACUGUGCAAACACGAAAGUGGACGUAUACGGUGUGACGCCUGCCCGGUGCCGGAAGGUUAAUUGAUGGGGUCAGCGCAAGCGAAGCUCUUGAUCGAAGCCCCGGUAAACGGCGGCCGUAACUAUAACGGUCCUAAGGUAGCGAAAUUCCUUGUCGGGUAAGUUCCGACCUGCACGAAUGGCGUAAUGAUGGCCAGGCUGUCUCCACCCGAGACUCAGUGAAAUUGAACUCGCUGUGAAGAUGCAGUGUACCCGCGGCAAGACGGAAAGACCCCGUGAACCUUUACUAUAGCUUGACACUGAACAUUGAGCCUUGAUGUGUAGGAUAGGUGGGAGGCUUUGAAGUGUGGACGCCAGUCUGCAUGGAGCCGACCUUGAAAUACCACCCUUUAAUGUUUGAUGUUCUAACGUGGACCCGUGAUCCGGGUUGCGGACAGUGUCUGGUGGGUAGUUUGACUGGGGCGGUCUCCUCCUAAAGAGUAACGGAGGAGCACGAAGGUUGGCUAAUCCUGGUCGGACAUCAGGAGGUUAGUGCAAUGGCAUAAGCCAGCUUGACUGCGAGCGUGACGGCGCGAGCAGGUGCGAAAGCAGGUCAUAGUGAUCCGGUGGUUCUGAAUGGAAGGGCCAUCGCUCAACGGAUAAAAGGUACUCCGGGGAUAACAGGCUGAUACCGCCCAAGAGUUCAUAUCGACGGCGGUGUUUGGCACCUCGAUGUCGGCUCAUCACAUCCUGGGGCUGAAGUAGGUCCCAAGGGUAUGGCUGUUCGCCAUUUAAAGUGGUACGCGAGCUGGGUUUAGAACGUCGUGAGACAGUUCGGUCCCUAUCUGCCGUGGGCGCUGGAGAACUGAGGGGGGCUGCUCCUAGUACGAGAGGACCGGAGUGGACGCAUCACUGGUGUUCGGGUUGUCAUGCCAAUGGCACUGCCCGGUAGCUAAAUGCGGAAGAGAUAAGUGCUGAA